CUAGGUGUGGGGCUGAGAAGGUAUCAUGUGCAGCAGCUAAUCUCGCUAAGCAUCCUGCAUCGGGAUUACGUCCGCAAGGGUACAAAUCAUGAGAAUUGACGGGGCACCGCACAAGCAGCGGAGCGUGUGGUUUACUUCGAUGCUACACGAAGAACAUUACCUGGGUGUGACAUGUACGUGGUAGAGAAGCGAACGCGGAUCGACCCUUCCGGUAGUGUACACAGAUGCUGCAUGGCUGUCGUCAGCUCGUGCCGUGAGGUGUCGGGUUAAGUCCCGUAACGAGCGCAACCCUUGCCCUUAGUUACAAGUGUCUAAGGGGACUGCCGGCGGUAAGCCGGAGGGAGGUGGGGAUGACGUCAAGUCAGCAUGGCCCUUAUAUCCAGGGCUACACACACGAUACAAUGGUCAUUACAAAGGGCAGCGAAGCCCCGAGGUGAAGCGAAUCCCAACAAAGAUGAUCUAAGUUCGGAAUGCAGUCUGCAACUUUCCCGCAUGAAGCCGGAGUUGCUAGUUACCGCGUGUCAGCUAUAUUGCGGGGAAUACGUUCCCGGGGCUUGUACACACCGCCCGUCACGUCAUGGGAGUCGGUAAUGCCCGAAGCUGGUAGUGUGGCCCUCAAGGGGG
rnacentral:rRNA from 1 species